rnacentral:rRNA from 1 species
UACGGAGGGGGCUAGCGUUGUUCGGAAUUACUGGGCGUAAAGCGCACGUAGGCGGACUGUUAAGUCGGGGGGUGAAAUCCUGGGGGCUCAACCUCAGAAUUGCCUCCGAUACUGGCAGUCUCGAGUGCGGGAGAGGUGAGUGGAAUUCCCAGUGUAGAGGUGAAAUUCGUAGAUAUCAGGAGGAACACCGAUGGCGAAGGCAGGUCACUGGG